UUACGCGACGGAUGUUAGGGCACUAACAUUGGAAUGGCCGAGACGGGGUCAGUCGUCCUCCGCGAGAGGGCGUACUUUACAAAUUAACGACGAUUUCCCUUGCGUUUGGACACUGUCUUGUCGCUGCUUUUCGUGCUUUUGCCGCGGUUAUACUAGCAUGAGUAAUUUGUGCCAUUUCAUUUUAUUUGUUCCGAAAUAAUAGCGUUGGGAUUGCUGUUCGCCAUCAUGUAAUCGGUAAAUAUUAUUGCUUUACGGUCUGGAUGAUUUAGGGAAAAGUAUAGUAGAAGACGAACAAGUUUUUUUCGUUGAUUCUGUGGGAAAAAGACGCUUACCCGUAGCUGUAGGCGUAGGCCUACCGGUACCACUGGUGUGUGCCGCUUACAUCAUCAUUCAUGCAAUCAAUGCAUGGCGUGUGUGUCAUUAAAUUGUGUGCAGACUUAAGACUACAGCAUAGGCGUUCAGGCUACAGGCUACAUCAUGUCUGUGUUAGCCUAGUGUCACUCUCAGCUCAGUCUAAAUCUGUGGCUGUUAAAAAAAUGGGUGUGCGUUAAUCAUGAUAUUGUAUUACCAACACAUCGUGGAGUAUAUACUCUAUAUAUCGGUACUAGGCCUAGGUCUAUAUCACCACUUAGGGAAUAGACGAAUUCGAAGAAGACGAAAUCGGUGCCAAAACAAAUCGAAUGCGCACACUCAGAAUACGUCAGAAGGCCUAGUAUUAAGCCGACUUCGGACAAUUGAUGCCUAGAGAGACACGGCGAUCCUUUGUUCAAGGGUCAGUGCAAACUUCUUCGAAUUCGUCCAUCAACGUAAUGACGUAACUCGUGAGAUAACGAGGAGUAGUGGUGAAACAAUAUUGCGCAAUGUUAUUUUGGUAGAAGGUUGUGGCAGUGAAGGGACUGUGUGCAUGCACUUGAGGGAGUGUGUUCAUCCAGAUAGGCCUGUUUUUGAAGAAGAGGAAUCGGUUAUCACCAAAACAAACUUCUUCGAAUUCGUCUUUUUAUAGGCCCUUUGCAGCAUUGCCAGGUACGCGGGCACCACCUAGGUUCGCCAAAACAAACCAUGUUUACAAUAGAUCUUCACAGAAAAGGAUGCACAUUGGCUCGAGACCACGAUUCGAAAGUUGGUCAGCGGGUAGCACAUGUGUGCACAGUAUGAUGCACUGUCAAGAUGUUUUACAAAAUACAAUUUUUUUAAGGAUAUUUGAUUGACGGGACGCAAUAGCAUCGGCCAGCAUCACCAUGACGGCAUGAAAGAGGCUCGGCAUCUCCAACACAUAUCGUUUAAGUUUCAAAUCAAUUGCAAAACAAAUUCUACCACUUACAUGUAUUUCUUUUUGUUUUGUAGAUUAUGAUUGCAUUGGGUUACCAAAUCUUGGUAACUCAUGUUUUUUAAAUGUGGCGUUGCAGGCCCUCCGUGCCACCCUGGGGUUUUUAAUGCCACUCGUGCCCACACUCAGUGUUUUGAAGAAUGUAAAAUCCCGUGUGUGAUAAACAUGUGUAAAGAAACCUUUCGCAAGAAGCCAGAAGAGCUUUACAACAAUCUUGGACUGGGAGAUGGAGGCCAUCAUAAACUUCUUGUGGGAUGAGUUGCCGCAGACAGAGAUGAAAACCAUGAUGAAUGUCUGUGUGCCAGAGGCUAUGAUUUGUUUAGUACAACAAUGGGAGGGACUUAACAAAAUUGAGGCGGGAAUGUUCUUGAGGCAGUGUCGGUGCAUGGAAAAAACGGAAACCUUGGAUUAAGGAUUUAUUUCAUAGUGAAUUACACAAUCACAAAUGGAUUACACACGUUCUGGAUUAGACUAGUUCCUGCUGCAACUGACAUUUUUGCAGGUGCCCAACCGUAGGCGACUUCUUGAUGUCUUCCUUGGAUAUUACAUGAUAUUAUGUCAUUUUCGCCAACAUCGUGUUUUGGCGCCAAGACGUUUGUUCCUAGAACGAUUGAUUUAAAUGCCGAAUGUGGUCAGUUUUAAUUUAUAUCGCUGGUGUCUACCCAAACAAUUUUAGAUGCUUUCUGCUGAAUCUUCUACUACUACUGUUUUUACUGGGGUUUCGAUGUUUUUUGGUGGAGUGUGACUCUAAAGAAAUAGGCAGCUUUUUAUGCCCCCGCCAAUGCGUAAAGCAUUGCGGAGGCAUUAGGUUUUACCGAUGUCUGUCAGCCGGUAGGCGUCAGGCGUCUGUAAACUUUUUUUUCUCGCUCAUUUUAAGGAGAACGCUUUUAGCGAUAACCACGAAACCAUUUUUGUGGGUUGACCUUUACUAAAGGAAGGUUCCUUUCGAAAACAGGCUCGUCCCGAUUGUCAAUAUAUGGCCACCAGGGCGGCGUGCUUGAAAUCGGUUUCCGUCAAUUGCGAGGAGAACCAUUUUUGUGAUUAAAUUCAUUUUUAUGCCCCCGACAAUUCGUAAUGCAUUGCGGAGGCAUUAUGUGUUACCGAUGUCCAUGCGUCCGUCCGUCUGUGCAUCUAUUAGCCGUCUGUAAACUUUUCGUUUCCGCUCAUUUUAACAAGAACGCUUUGAGUAAUAACCAUGUAACUUUUUAUAUGGGUAGAAAAAGAUAACGUGUACAGCGGGCAUUUACAGACCAAUAACUCUUUCACGAUGUCAACUAAACCCAGUCAGCUACGACACCAGCUGCCCAGGGUUGUCUGAAAAACACUUCACUUUCCUAAUACUCCAACUCAAUGUGCUCAGGGAGGCAUAUGCCACACCCUGCGUUGCUCUUGUUAUUGCAGUAUUUUUGUUCUUCCUCUGGUUCACCUAUAAACUAUUUUUCCAAUCUCCAAUCAUGUUUGAUGCUUUAGCCAUUUUGUUUCAGCUCUUAGAUAGUAGAAAAACGUGUUAUUCAUUAUUUCUAGUAGCACAAGUCCUGGCACGAAAUACCUUUCCCGCCAUAAUAUCAGUACCAAUACGUCACAGGGUAGGUCCUAACUCCAGGAAACGCCUUACUAGUGCAUUGUCCUAACUCCAGGAAACGCCUUACUGGUGCAUUGUUCCACGUGAAAAGGGUCACUGCUUGGAGAGCUAAAUGGGGUCAACAUCAGAAAAGCGCAAUAAUUCAGUCUUUGGAAUGUUUCCUUUUUUUGUGCAAUUUGUUGAUGGAAACUACUUAUGUAGAACAGGAGGUGACUGGGCAGCGGACAGCUGGGUAAUAUUGCCCUUAAUAAUGCCUAUGGUCCUUUAAUAAUUUUGGUACCAACCCAAGUGCUUGAAGUGGUUGGAAUACCAUAACCUAUGCAGACACGUGAGAGCCAUUUACACGGAACCAGUGAUCUUGAUCGAUCCAGAUCAUUCUAGAACGGUUUGCUGCGUUUAACCUCUUAACUCCCAAAACUUGAAAAUCACGGGAUCCCAGGGUGGUCACGUGGUUGCAAAAUUGGGUCCGAAUUUCACGAUGUGUAGUGCCCGCAUACAACCGCCCAAGUCCGGUAACGAGGCACCAUCUACCUAGGCAUGCUCUUACUGACCCUACUGUACAUCAAACACGCUAAAACCAGCAAUAAAAUAGCGUCCCAGCUCAAGGGAAUAAAAAUAUCACUGAGACAGACCUGUCGGUCGUUGGGAAAAAACGUUAUUUCAAAAUGACCGACUGGUCGGUCACCGGGAUUCAAGAGGUUGACUGCACACCAUUGUCCAUUGGUCAUUCGGCAAGAAACACAAUGUUUAAGUUUUGAAUAUAAAGUUAAAAUAAAAGAUUGAGGUGUGUCGUGUCAUCAAGCCAUGUGUGUAUUCAUUUACGCGACACUCGUUAAUCAUCUUCUGUAGGAGUAAUCUGGGAAAGUUUUGAAAAAUGGCGUCCAUAAAGCACAUUUACAUUCUUCGCUCGUGCCUCAUCUCAACUAGAGCCCUUUGACGAGAGAUAAUGGCUUUUUCUUGCAUUUAUCUGAAAAACUUUACUUUCCUGAGAAAUGUGACAAUGCCCAAGUUGUGGGGUAAUUACACAUUUCUUCAAGUCCCAAGAUAACUGGUGGUUCUGCGACUGUUCUCAUAUGAGUUAAACGAAGAAUCUUGUCUUAAAUCGGCUUUUAUUCUCCAAGAUCGAGCUUGUACAUCUUCACAAAUCCGUGUUGUCCCCGAAUAAAUUCCGGGACAGCCGUGAGACAGUCCGAAGACAGUCACAAUCUACUACAUUUAAAUUACAUGUACCCUUUUAUCCAAUAACAUUCAUUGAGUUAAGUUGAAAUCAGCGUGACAGUGAACUGAAUGGCUGCAAGAAUUUCCAGUAAGUACUUGUACCGGUAAUAUUUUUAUCUGACAACAACCGUUUUUGGGCCUUUUGGAGCUUAUUUGACCUUAUUAUAUGAGAGUAGUAGACAGAUCAAGUUGUUUGUAAUGACUGACAUAAUUUUAAAAGCCCUUGUCCUGCAAUUGCCACCGUGAUAAUGUAUCUCAAAUGCCCCAGCCACAUAUGCACAAAUGAUAAUCAUGUUGGGCAAAAUUAAAUGUGUUGUGAAUAUUGAAAGUUCAAGUGUGAACACAUUAUGUAAAAGUGUGGAAUUACACAGCGAGAACUGUAUAAUCCCAGUGAAUGAUUUUUAUACAUUGAAGUCAUGAAUUGAGUGUGAAUUUUAUCCUGAUACUCAAAGGCAGAAAGGGAAUUGAAGAUAGUGACAAAAAAUGGUAUUUUUUCCUAAUGUUAAGUUGGGAUCGUGGGAUUAUUGAUUUCUGCCCGUUUCUAGUAUUGUGAGGAUGUAUUUGGUCAUUUGUUUUGAUGCAUGAAUGAUGUAACCCGGAUCGCAAUUAUUGAAAAAUGUGUUUAGAAACUUCAUUUGUAGUUGAGUGUUUAAAUCUGUUACUUCUAAUGCUUUUAAAGUCUUGAAUAAGGGUUUGGUGUGGGCAAU